CGUGGUGAUUCCGAACCUCACCUCCCGUCUUGCCUCCCCACAUGCAUUGAAGCUGUCGGCGACUUCUUUCUUGGUCUCUCCUCCCCGUCCCUACUGAUUGAAAUAUAAGCCGGUGGAAUUGUUGAACGGAUUCAUCUCGUAGCCCGCGUUGCCUUCGUCUGGCAGUCGACGCUUCCGCUGCAGGCGCGAUCGGAAGUUGCUGUUGUUCUGGUUUGAUCAUCGUCGCAGAUUAAUUUAAUAUUUGGUUAAAGGUGAAGCCGUGAAGGUGCUAGUGAAGUUAUGCAUUUUCAAGGGAUUGGAAUCCUUUCUCACAUUACUUGUAGUUUCCUUUAUAUUAGUGUGCUUGGGUGGGAUUUUUAUAUCUUAAAUACAAGGGAAAUCAAAGAGAAUUUAAAUGAUGUAGUUAAGAUUUUUUUAGUUUUUUGUUUGGUUAAGCUAAUUACAUUAGUAGUAGUUUUAAAUGUUCGGAAAGACGGAA